rnacentral:sRNA from 1 species
CCCAAGAAGUACAAUAAUGAUGACAUAAGUGAGCAUAG